rnacentral:rRNA from 1 species
AAAGCAUCUAAGCACGAAACUUGCCCCGAGAUGAGUUCUCCCUGAGACUAUAAGUCUCCUGAAGGAACGUUAAAGACGAUGACGUUGAUAGGCCGGGGGUGUAAGCGCAGCGAUGCGUUGAGCUAACCGGUACUAAUGAACCGUGAGGCUUAACCUUACAACGCCGAAG